ensembl:lncRNA
UUUCUUCAUAACUUUUUUAAUAGAAAUCUUUUCGACACCUCUAGAAAUCUCAACUGUGGCGUUUGGCAUCUUGUUCCUACCCCACUUACGAUGUGUUUUUACACGUAUUACCUGUGCUGUGCAUCAGGAGUGGAGCGGUACAUAUAUUCGUAUUGAACCAAUUUGGUACAAGGGUCACGGUUUUGGUGCACGCAUUUACACAGAAAAUACACUGCAAAGCGGAACUAUUGUUAGAUACGCAUGUUCUUUGGGGACACAUAAUAUGUGACGCGCGUCCUAUUCGCUUUGGACUAAUGUCAAACUAGACGCAAAUUUUAAGCAUUUCUUUGUUUGCGUUGAUUACAAUGCUGGAGUGUGUGUGUGCUCGCACGCGCGGUAGAGAGAGAAAGAUAUAGUGUGUUCACUGUAGCACAAGAGAGAUCGAGACAGAGAAGCAAUUUGUCCUCGAGUGUCACAAAUACAGUUCAAAAUUCCCACCUUAGUGCAGUGUGUCAAGGAACUAAUAUCCUCAAUGAACACAGGGAUCGAUACAGCAAGCACAAGCUCAGGGUCCUCCAGCUCAGCCCAAGAGAUGACACUGUCAUAUCUGAGUUUCCGGGCACGUCACAGUCCGAGGUUAGAGCAGUAAUACGGCGAAAGUGCAAUAACGAAAGUUUUGUUUCAAAAAAAAAAAACACUGUAAAGGUAAUUUUUUGUUGUUGUUGGGAAAGGAAUGUGAAAGUAAAGAAGAAAUUUGUGUUUUGUUCAUAUAAGAUACGUACAGUAAUCUGUAGUUUAAUCAUUUUAUUAAAGGGUUAGUUCACCCAAAAAUCGAAAAGUUCUUUGUAUUUAGUCACCCGCGUGUUGUUCUAAACCCUUAAGAUUCCAUUAACCAUCGCAUCACAAAAUAUUAUAUUUAUGAUGGAAUCUGAGCGCUGGAU